rnacentral:rRNA from 1 species
UACGGGAGGCAGCAGUGGGGAAUAUUGCACAAUGGGCGCAAGCCUGAUGCAGCCACGCCGCGUGUAUGAAGAAGGCCUUCGGGUUGUAAAGUACUUUCAGUCGUGAGGAAGGUGUUAAGGUUAAUAACCUUAGCAAUUGACGUUAGCGACAGAAGAAGCACCGGCUAACUCCGUGCCAGCAGCCGCGGUAAUACGGAGGGUGCGAGCGUUAAUCGGAAUUACUGGGCGUAAAGGGCACGCAGGCGGUUAAUUAAGUUGGAUGUGAAAUCCCCGGGCUUAACCUGGGAAUGGCAUUCAAGACUGGUUAGCUAGAGUCUUGUAGAGGGGGUAGAAUUCCAUGUGUAGCGGUGAAAUGCGUAGAGAUGUGGAGGAAUACCGGUGGCGAAGGCGGCCCCCUGGACAAAGACUGACGCUCAUGUGCGAAAGCGUGGGGAGCAAACAGGGAUUAGAUACC